rnacentral:rRNA from 1 species
UACGAAGGGGGCUAGCGUUGUUCGGAAUCACUGGGCGUAAAGGGCGCGUAGGCGGCCGAUCAAGUCGGGGGUGAAAGCCUGUGGCUCAACCACAGAAUUGCCUUCGAUACUGUUUGGCUUGAGACCGGAAGAGGUUAGUGGAACUGCGAGUGUAGAGGUGAAAUUCGUAGAUAUUCGCAAGAACACCAGUGGCGAAGGCGGCUGACUGGUCCGGUUCUGGACGCUGAGGCGCGAAAGCGUGGGGAGCAAACAGG